UUUCAGCAAGUCCAAAAUAUUAGUCAAUGCUCGAAAGAGUGAACUAGCUAACUGAAAUCAAUAAAAUAAUUGAUAACAUAAGGGAAAAUAAUGAUAUUACCUUAUUAUUAGUGUCGUCCAAAACUGGUGCCAGAAGACUCGGUAAGGCCAGAGACACAAACGUUAAUCGUCUUAAUCAGGCGUAAAGGGUUUGUAGGCGGCUUUAAAAUUUACUAAAAAAUAAAUAAUAAGUAAAAAAUAAAAGCUAGAAUCAAAUAGAGGAUAUAUGAAAUAAUGUUUAGAGUAGGUCUGAUAUCCUUAGAUACUAAGUAGAAUAUUAAAGGCGAAAGCUUUUUUCCAUUAAUGAUUGACGCUCAGAAACGAAAGUGAGGAUAGGAAAUAGGAUUAGAUACCCAAAAUACUCCUCUCUGUCAACGAUGAAUGGUAAUUAUUAGUAUAACUUAUUAAUAAUAAUGUUAACACGAUAACCAUUCCGCCUUGUGAGUACAACUGCAAAGUUGAAAACAAAAAAAUUAGUCGGUUUCGGAGCAAACGAAGUGAAGCAUGUUAUUUAAUUCGAUAAUCCGCACAGCUGAUACAG
rnacentral:rRNA from 1 species